rnacentral:rRNA from 1 species
UGAGGAAUUUUCCGCAAUGGGCGAAAGCCUGACGGAGCAAUACCGCGUGAGGGAUGAAGGCCUAUGGGUUGUAAACCUCUUUUCUCAAGGAGGAAGAUCUGACGUUACUUGAGGAAUAAGCAUCGGCUAACUCUGUGCCAGCAGCCGCGGUAAUACAGGGGAUGCAAAGUGUUAUCCGGAAUUAUUGGGCGUAAAGCGUCUGUAGGUUGAUAACUAAGUCUUUUGUUAAACCUUCGGGCUCAACCCGAAAUCUGCAAAAGAAACUAUUUAUCUUGAGUAUAGUAGAGGUAAAGGGAAUUUCCAGUGGAGCGGUGAAAUGCGUAGAGAUUGGAAAGAACACCAACAGCGAA